ACUAGCAGUAAGAGUUUGAUCCUGGCUCAGAACGAACGCUGGCGGCAGGCUUAACACAUGCAAGUCGAACGCAGUCCUUCGGGGUGAGUGGCAGACGGGUGAGUAACGCGUGGGAAUCUGCCCUUGGGUUCGGAACAACAGUUGGAAACGACUGCUAAUACCGGAUGAUGACUUCGGUCCAAAGAUUUAUCGCCCAAGGAUGAGCCCGCGUAGGAUUAGCUUGUUGGUGAGGUAAAAGCUCACCAAGGCGACGAUCCUUAGCUGGUCUGAGAGGAUGAUCAGCCACACUGGGACUGAGACACGGCCCAGACUCUUACGGGAGGCAGCAGUGGGGAAUAUUGGACAAUGGGCGAAAGCCUGAUCCAGCAAUGCCGCGUGAGUGAUGAAGGCCUUAGGGUUGUAAAGCUCUUUUACCCGGGAAGAUAAUGACUGUACCGGGAGAAUAAGCCCCGGCUAACUCCGUGCCAGCCGCCGCGGUAAUUC
rnacentral:rRNA from 1 species